rnacentral:tRNA from 2 species
GGGUCGUUAGCUCAGUUGGUUGAGCAGUUGACUUUUAAUCAAUUGGUCGCAGGUUCGAAUCCUGCACGACCCACCA